AGAGUUUGAUCCUGGCUCAGAUUGAACGCUGGCGGCAUGCCUUACACAUGCAAGUCGAACGGUAACGCGGGGCAACCUGGCGACGAGUGGCGAACGGGUGAGUAAUAUAUCGGAACGUGCCCAGUAGUGGGGGAUAGCCCGGCGAAAGCCGGAUUAAUACCGCAUACGACCUGAGGGUGAAAGCGGGGGAUCGCAAGACCUCGCGCUAUUGGAGCGGCCGAUAUCAGAUUAGGUAGUUGGUGGGGUAAAGGCCUACCAAGCCUGCGAUCUGUAGCUGGUCUGAGAGGACGACCAGCCACACUGGGACUGAGACACGGCCCAGACUCCUACGGGAGGCAGCAGUGGGGAAUUUUGGACAAUGGGCGCAAGCCUGAUCCAGCCAUGCCGCGUGCGGGAAGAAGGCCUUCGGGUUGUAAACCGCUUUUGUCAGGGAAGAAACGCUCUGGGCUAAUACCCUGGGGUAAUGACGGUACCUGAAGAAUAAGCACCGGCUAACUACGUGCCAGCAGCCGCGGUAAUACGUAGGGUGCAAGCGUUAAUCGGAAUUACUGGGCGUAAAGCGUGCGCAGGCGGUCCUGCAAGACAGAUGUGAAAUCCCCGGGC
rnacentral:rRNA from 1 species